rnacentral:misc_RNA from 1 species
AAAAUAUAAAAACCUAAUUUUACAUGGAGACCUAUAGUAGUCCAUAGUCACAAGUCUAUUACAUCAUGUGCACAAAGUCAAGAGGCUUUUACACUAGAACUUUUAAGAAAACAAGGAAAGAAGGCAUAGGAUAUAGUCUGAAAUAGUAGAGUAUAAAGGACAUGAAACCUUGUCAUGUAUAUCAAGCCCUUUGAAGCAAUGUACUCUACCCCUGUUUGGGUAUGAGAUCUAUAUAAAGACAAAAUCAAGAGCAUGAUUAUGCACCAAACUGCUACGGAACAGCCCUUAAACAACAGAGAAGUAGUAAUGACCCACUUAGUCAGGUUUCAAGUAUUUGAAGCCACAGAGUUUGUGCAGCUCUAAAUUCUCAAUCAAUAAAUCCAAGACUAAAAGACCAAGGCCAUAGGCAUACUAGAGUUAAA